GUGUGUCUAUAGCAACAAGUGAAGAACAGUAAAACAUGGCCUUCUAUUCAACUUUCGUCGCCGCGGUCCUGAUGGCUGUAAUCGCCGUAGCAAGUGCCAUUGAUUUGGCGUCGGUCAAAACGGACAAGCUUAUUGGUGCCUAGGAAUCACAAACCAAAGCGAAGUGCGACCGAACCAACGGAAUGACAACGGAAAAAAUGGCUACGGCGACUAUGAUUUAAUAAAUUAGCAUCACAGCGCACAAUUUGCAACACAAA